GACGAACGCUGGCGGCGUGCUUAACACAUGCAAGUCGAACGGAAAGGCCCUGCUUUUGUGGGGUGCUCGAGUGGCGAACGGGUGAGUAACACGUGAGUAACCUGCCCUUGACUUUGGGAUAACUUCAGGAAACUGGGGCUAAUACCGGAUAGGAGCUCCUGCUGCAUGGUGGGGGUUGGAAAGUUUCGGCGGUCGGGGAUGGACUCGCGGCUUAUCAGCUUGUUGGUGGGGUAGUGGCUUACCAAGGCUUUGACGGGUAGCCGGCCUGAGAGGGUGACCGGCCACAUUGGGACUGAGAUACGGCCCAGACUCCUGCGGGAGGCAGCAGUGGGGAAUAUUGCACAAUGGGCGGAAGCCUGAUGCAGCAACGCCGCGUGCGGGAUGACGGCCUUCGGGUGGUAAACCGCUUUCGCCUGUGACGAAGCGUGAGGGACGGUAAUGGGUAAAGAAGCACCGGCUAACUACGU
rnacentral:rRNA from 1 species